rnacentral:rRNA from 1 species
UACGGAGGGUGCGAGCGUUGUCCGGAAUCACUGGGCGUAAAGGGCGCGUAGGUGGCGGUCCAAGUCAACGGUGAAAGCUCGGGGGCUCAACCCCGAGUCGGCCGUCGAUACUGGGUUGCUUGAGCACUGUAGAGGCAGGCGGAAUUCCGGGUGUAGCGGUGGAAUGCGUAGAGAUCCGGAAGAACACCGGUGGCGAAGGCGGCCUGCUGGGCAGUAGCUGACGCUGAGGCGCGACAGCGUGGGGGAGCAAACAGG